rnacentral:lncRNA from 1 species
ACACACACACACACAAAAGAACUUAGAAGACUCCUUAGAACAACAAGCAGUUCGCUGGGGGGGAUCUGAACCUAAGGGCUGACACAAUCCACAAGCAUGGACAAAGCUACUUCGGUGCAAGGCAGACGUACAGACCGAGGCUUGGCCCGUAUUGCCUGGCUCAGAGGACGGCCAUCGGGUUCGCUGGCUCGCUCCGCCUCCGCCCUCGGGGUCGAACUCCCGGAGAGAGCAGCACGACCCUUGUCCCGCAGCUUCGCGAGCUCGGCCGUCCACGUAUCCACUAGGUUGGACAUCGUAGCAGAGACGAAAGCAAGAACAAUGGCAAGCAACAGCUCUAGAAGACACUGCAAAGCGUACCAGCUACGAUUAGGAUGGUGAGGCCCGGCGAAGGCUUAAAAAGAGGGGCAGCCGAGCUUAUCCACUCUGAAACCAGUGAGCCUAUAAGAGUGGUUUUUGUGGGUGUCGGCAGGUUCUUAGGUGCCGGAGAUAUUUUGCAUCACGUUCAUCCUAGAUAAGUCUCUUCAUUAAAAUAAGGCAAAUUUCAUAUACAAAUAUAGAUAUUUAGCUUACAGACCCUUUAAUAAGACAAACAACUGAGUUCUUAUCCAAACACUAAUAGAGAAUAAUUAAUACACAUGACGAGGCAUGCCCACAUGUCGAAUUCUAACAGCACAAAUGAUAUUUUCAUUAUCAAAAGCAAUCGACUACCCGACACGUGGAGCCCUAAAUAUCCACGUGGCUA